GAGGGUAUAGAUCAGUGGUAGAGCCCAUGCUUAGCAUGCACAAGGUCCUGGGUUCAAUCCCCAGUACCUCCA
rnacentral:tRNA from 1 species